UGCCUUUAAGACGAGGAUAACAACCGGAAGGUUACUAAGACUGGAUAGGAAACAAAAAGGCAUCUUUUUGUUUUUAAAAGACCUUCUUACGAAGGUAUGCUUAAAGAGGGGCUUGCGCCACAUUAGUUAGUUGGUAGAGUAAAAGCCUACCAAGACGAUGAUGUGUAGCUGGACUGAGAGGUUGAACAGCCACAUUGGGACUGAGACACGGCCCAAACUCCUACGGGAGGCAGCAGUAGGGAAUUUUCGGCAAUGGAGGAAACUCUGACCGAGCAACGCCGCGUGAACGAUGAAGUAUUUCGGUAUGUAAAGUUCUUUUAUUGAAGAAGAAAAAGUAGUGGAAAAACUAUAUUGACGUUAUUCAAUGAAUAAGCCCCGGCUAACUAUGUGCCAGCAGCCGCGGUAAGACAUAGGGGGCGAGCGUUAUCCGGAAUUAUUGGGCGUAAAGGGUGCGUAGGCUGUUAGAUAAGUCUAUAAUUUAAUUUCAGUGCUUAACGCUGUCUUGUUAUAGAAACUGUCUUGACUAGAGUGAGAUAGAGGCAAGCGGAAUUCCAUGUGUAGCGGUAAAAUGUGUAAAUAUAUGGAGGAACACCAGAAGCGUAGGCGGCUUGCUGGGUCUUUACUGACGCUGAGGCACGAAAGCGUGGGUAGCAAACAGGAUUAGAUACCCUGGUAGUCCACGCCGUAAACGAUGAGUACUAAGUGUCGGGGUAAAACUCGGUACUGAAGUUAACACAUUAAGUACUCCGCCUGAGUAGUACGUACGCAAGUAUGAAACUUAAAGGAAUUGACGGGACUCCGCACAAGCGGUGGAUCAUGUUGUUUAAUUCGAAGAUACACGAAAAAUCUUACCAGGUCUUGACAUACUCUGCAAAGCUAUAGAAAUAUAGUGGAGGUUAUCAGGGAUACAGGUGGUGCAUGGUUGUCGUCAGUUCGUGUCGUGAGAUGUUAGGUUAAGUCCUAAAACGAACGCAACCCUUGUCGUUAAUUGCCAGCACAUAAUGGUGGGGACUUUAACGAGACUGCCAAUUAAACAUUGGAGGAAGGUGAGGAUUACGUCAAAUCAUCAUGCCCCUUAUGAUCUGGGCUACAAACGUGAUACAAUGGCUGUGACAAAGAGUAGCUGAAACGCGAGUUUUUAGCCAAUCUCAAAAAAGCAGUCUCAGUUCGGAUUGAAGUCUGUAACUCGACUUCAUGAAGUUGGAAUCGCUAGUAAUCGCGAAUCAGCAUGUCGCGGUGAAUACGUUCUCGGGGUUUGUACACACCGCCCGUCAAACCACCGAAAGUUAGCAAUGCCCGAAAGCAGUAGCUUAACUUCGCAAGAAGAGGGAACUGUCUAAGGUAGGGUUGAUGAUUGGGGUUAAGUCGUAACAAGGUAUCCCUACCGGAAGGUGGGGAUGGAUCACCUCCUUUCUAAGGACUAUAU
rnacentral:rRNA from 1 species